CAUGGCUGGUCAUCUUAUGCAAGGUAAUGGUUAGAUAUUGUUAGUUUAGGAGUUGGAGCACAAGCAGGAAUAGGAGGAGGAGGAGGAGGUAAAACAGUCAGUAUGUGAGUUAGUGUUAUUAGAGGUAAGGUUAGUUUAGGAGGAGCAAGAAGAGAAGGAAGAGAAAAAGCAAUCUAUAUGGGUGACUUUAUAAAAAAAAACUUAGGUAACUUCUUUAACUUGGUAUUGAUAGCUUAGGAGGAAGAGCAGAAACAGGAAUAUAAGGAUGAGUAAAAGCAGUCUAUAUGUAACUUUACCGAAAUACAACUUAGGUAACUUCUUUAACUUUUCACUGCAAGGUAAGUUUCUGAGCCUUUGAAUAACCAGUGUCACCCUUUGGACAGUUGUUGUUAUCAUGUAGAAGUUUUUUUUUUAGACCAGCAUUUCUUAACUUGGCUGUUUUGAGUUUUGUUUACGAUGUUCACUGAAAAAUAUCUUGUUUAUCUGGAUUUCAUUUGCUUAGUUGUUAGUGUGAAUUUAGAGAUUAUGGCUUUGUUAUUAAUUUACGGUAAUGUUCGUGUGUGUUAGGUUACUGAUUUUGUUAUUUUCAGGUACAGUCCAUAUAGUUAGGUUAAUUAUAGAGUGUGUUUGCCUCUUAAUACACAUCAUUAGGUUAAUUAUAGAGUGUGUUUGCCUCUUAAUACACAUCAUUAGGUUAAUUAUAGAGUGUGUUUGCCUCUUAAUACACAUCAUUAGGUUAAUUAUAGAGUGUGUUUGCCUCUUAAUACACAUCAUUAGGUUAAUUAUAGAGUGUGUUUGCCUCUUAAUACACAUCAUUAGGUUAAUUAUAGAGUGUGUUUGCCUCUUAAUACACAUCAUUAGGUUAAUUAUAGAGUGUGUUUGCCUCUUAAUACACAUCAUUAGGUUAAUUAUAGAGUGUGUUUGCCUCUUAAUACACAUCAUUAGGUUAAUUAUAGAGUGUGUUUGCCUCUUAAUACACAUCAUUAGGUUAAUUAUAGAGUGUGUUUGCCUCUUAAUACACAUCAUUAGGUUAAUUAUAGAGUGUGUUUGCCUCUUAAUACACAUCAUUAGGUUAAUUAUAGAGUGUGUUUGGCUCUUAAUACACAGCAUUAGGUUAAUUAUAGAGUGUGUUUGCCUCUAAUACACAUCAUUAGGUUAAUUAUAGAGUGUGUUUGCCUCUUAAUACACAUCAUUAGGUUAAUUAUUGAGUGUGUUUGCCUCUUAAUACACAUCAUUCCAAAGUUUGCAUUAUCUUCGGUAUAAAGAAAAAUAUGUCAUACUUAAAAUCGAUACACAUUCUUCGUUUCGACAAUUCUUUUUUUUAUUUUUUUGGCCUUUUUAAUUUUCCAGAGUAUUUUUUUUCUCUCAAAGUGCCAGUGAGCUUUUAUGUUUCUUUUUAGUCAUGGCCCUUGAUCUGCCUCCUUUACUCUAAUAAUAAUAAUAAUGAUAAUAAUAAUAAUAAUAAUAAUAAUAAUAAGUUGGAAUGGUGUGUGUCAAGAGACCAAACCUAGGUACCUUAUUUUCUCUAAUGGCACUUUCCUCAGGCAUCCAGGCCCCUCAAGGCACCCAGGGACUUAUAUAUAUAUUUCUGUUUAUUUAUUUAUUUAUUUGCUGCAGGAUCAGAUUUUUUGCAGCUUUAUCUGUUUUAUCAUGUCCAAAUUUUUCUUCUACUUACCAUCCCUUUUCCUGCAGGUGUUAAUUUCUCUUAUACUUACCAUUCCUUUUUAUACUUGCCAUCCCUGUUAUCUUUUCUCUUUUCCCUUUAUUUAUCAUCCUUUUUCCCUUUUCCCUUUACUUACAAUCCCUUUUCCUCUGUUACUUACCAUCCCUUUUCCCGCAGAUGUUUUAAGUUUGCUGUGUUUUUGUUAUCGCCGAACGCCAUUAAUGUUUUGGUUGUUGUUUA